AAGAGCCACAGCAAAGCAGCAUGUGGCCGAGCUUUGAGAAAGCUGCAAACAUGGUGCGGUGGGGCGGAAGAAGAUGAGAUAAAAAACCCUGAACACCCAAACUGUUGCUUGUCACAUCCUGGAAAGACACGUGACAGAAAGGGCAGUGCUCACAGCAUUAAUUAUGCAGAGCCCUCCAUCUCUCACCACCGAAGCCGAAACCCACUUCCUGGCACCGUCUCCGGAGGGCAGCCGGCAGCCCCACGCAGGGUGCUGGGAGGCGGGCAGGGACCGGUGCCUGCGCACACGGGCACAGCAGAUCCUCAGCCCAGGCUGCGCUGCGAGGAGCCGAGUGAUCCGGUCUGUUCGUGGGCUGAAAUGUCAUCCUCUCCCACCAAGUUUCUCCAGUAAAGGUCAGCGAGCACCGUGCAUUACAGGCCCUGUGCGUGCAGGAUUAUUUAAGUAGCCAUAAAGAACACAUUUUCUAAAAGACUUUAGGAAACAUAUGAAGGCCGAGCUAAAGUGCCCCUUGGAAACAACGGAACAGAAAUGAGCUCACAUAUUGUCCCAUGCAAUUAAGGAGAAGCCAGACUGGAAGCCAAGGGGCUGUGCUUGGGGUUUUGUUUUGCUUUUACAUGAAAGACAUUUUAUUUUCUGUGUCUUUGUCCUAAAGUCCCCCCUGGCUAGUCUUGAUUAAUAGAACUGCAAGCAGCGCACUGGGCUGUGACUAGGUCACCGCACCAAUCCCAAAGCUGUCACCACCCGAUGGGUGGCCCGUGGAAGCGACAGGCUGACCGGUGCCCAUUCGUGCUGCCAGGGGCAAUGGCCACAGCGACGCUCAGCUGCCGCCCCGGGAUGCGGCGUCCAUCGACUUCCUGGCUCCGCUCCCUCCCAGCCUCGGGGGUGACAUCCCAGUGCUGGCCGGUGACCGCAGCGCCGCAGACAUCCCUGCCAGCGAGGACAGGGCACGACGCAGGACCCGCCGUGACAAUUAGCGUUACUUGAGACCGCGGUGGCAAUCGCAGCACGGGGCCAAGGGUGAACGGUCAGUAGGAUCUCUGCCCUCCUGAGAGAGGGCUGCCUUUCAUUUUCCUCUCCGCGUGGCCUGGAAACCCUGGCAGAAAAGCCCUGCGGGGAUGUCUCUGGGUAAGGACGCAGGCCACCAUGCCCUCAGCCCCAGCUCCACCCCCGUGCAAAGCUGCGCUUGUUGCUUGAUCCAAACCCCGCCGAGGCCAAGCAGCCUGGCGGUAAUUUUGGUCGUUGUAGCACCGAAGCACUAAAAGCCGCCAAAGAAGUGCUCUUCCCUUGCGUGACAUGGUUUGUGACGCUGUCAGCGUCACAGGGUUAAGUGCAUUGGCUUGAAGGUAUUAAGGAAAAAAUACCCAAACUUCUGAAGUUCCUCUGAAGCCGUUGGAGAGACCCGGCUGCUCCCAGCCCCCGUGGGACAGUUCCCCCCGUGUCACCUGAGGUCAGACCCGGGAUUGCCUUCGCCAAAGUCCCCGCUGACGAGGCAUCGUCGCCUCUGCUCCCUCUCCUGGUCUCAGCGGGUGCUCAAGGCAAUCUAUAGCUAAAGGCUCUACUUGCUGCAGCCUUACAGUCUACAUUCAAAGAAUCCAAACCCAGAAGAAAUCACUGUAAUUUUCCAAUAUGACCUUCCCCGUGCUAUAAACUGCAGCACUCCCCCAGCCGCAUUCCUGCCUGGCUGCAGCAUCUCGACUAGGAAAACACUAUCUUGUUUUAAAAAGCCCACGAGGGGCAGGAGGCUCCUUCCAGUUUUCAGGAAACGGUUCCAAACUGUGAUUAUCCUGGCUCUUCACGUUUGCCAUGACAGAGCUUCAACCUGCAGUUGCUGGAUCUUAAAACAGGUCUGUGUGGUAGCCCAGAGAGACCUAAAACUAGCACAUUAUUGUUCUCCUGAUAGGUGUUCAUAAGCUGUAAUCAAAUUACUGUAAUUAUCUUUCUGUUAAACUAAACAGAUUAUGCUCUUGAG